AUACGUAGGUGGCAAGCGUUGUCCGGAAUUAUUGGGCGUAAAGCGCGCGCAGGCGGUCCUUUAAGUCUGAUGUGAAAGCCCACGGCUCAACCGUGGAGGGUCAUUGGAAACUGGGGGACUUGAGUGCAGAAGAGGAAAGUGGAAUUCCAAGUGUAGCGGUGAAAUGCGUAGAGAUUUGGAGGAACACCAGUGGCGAAGGCGACUUUCUGGUCUGUAACUGACGCUGAGGCGCGAAAGCGGGGGGAGCAAACAGGAUUAGAUACCCUGGUAGUCCACGCCGUAAACGAUGAGUGCUAAGUGUUAGGGGGUUUCCGCCCCUUAGUGCUGCAGCUAACGCAUUAAGCACUCCGCCUGGGGAGUACGGUCGCAAGACUGAAACUCAAAGGAAUUGACGGGG
rnacentral:rRNA from 1 species